AUUUUCUGCUGUCUCUCUCUCUUUCUCUCCUUACCUCUUCUCUCUUCUUUCUCCCAAACCCUAAAAAUGUUUGAACAUAAAAACCCACAGACUCCCAUCCCCGUCGUCGUCGUCGCCCACCCAGAUCGUGUGGAAUCUCCCCUCCCCACCGUCGCCCACCCAGAUUGCGUGGAAUUUCCCCUCCCCACCGCCGCACACUCCGCCGCCGUCACACUAUUCCAGCUGAUUCCGUAAAGGGUUUAAUUUAGGAAGCCAGAAGUAGAAGAAUGGCUGGAAUAUGGAGGAAAGCUCUUACAAAAGUUGGAUCUAAAAGUUUCUUGGUCUUCUUUACAAUGUUGAAAAAGAUGACUACUCUAAUUACAUAGAAGAUUUGAAACAUCUUCAAAUGUAUUUGGGAGGGAAGUUAAGGAAAACUUGGUAGUUGAAUACACUAGAUGAAAGGCGAAGAUUGAUCUUCUACAAGAAAUCACGGGUAGAUGCUUUAUAGUGACUCUCAUUGCUACAAAAUUUAGAAAAAUCUUAUUGCCUAGCAGUGUAACUUAGCAUGUAUAUUAAUCUGGAAAUAAAUAUUAUUUUUUGUUUAGACAUUUCAAGGGAGAAUGCAAAGAAUCUACUUAGUUGUAAUCUUGAUGCUGUUAUUCAGAAACCCUGUCACUUUUAUUGACAUUGAAGGCCACACACUUACUAUUGUAAUGGAAGUUGUUGCAUAUGGAGAAGACAUAGCCAUUUUUCUAAUAGAGUUUUCAAGUUUUAAAUAUUUUGAUAUUCUUUGGUCCUAUAAUAUUGUGAUACAGACUGACUUUUUCCUUUUUACCUUUGUAGCUUUCGCACCCGCCGCUUACUACUCCAAAUCUAUAUGAUUUCUACAACUAUAGAACUACUAAGCCAAAUACGGUUUACUUCUAAAUGAGUUCAUACAGGAGUAAAAUCACCCUCUCUUGCACUUUAUGUUAAUAACCAAACACAACAUUUAUCAAAAUGAGAUCCAAUGCAAGAAUUUUUAUUCAUAUAUUUCAUACCUUUCAUUUUAACAACAUUUAUCAAAAUCGCACACUCAUCAUGUUGUUCUUGAAAUUAGUUUCAGGGAAAAAUUUUGUGGUGUAAUUAAUCGAUAGAGAUCAAGGUGAAAGGAUUCAGUGAGAUGAUGAUGCAGCUCUGCUAUCACAUUAUACAUGUUUAGGAUACAUAUGACACAACUACUAGAAAGCUGACAUCAAGAGGUCUUUGAACUUAUGCUGCAGACCUGUCUUGCUUUGAUAAUGCAGUAUUCUUGCACUUGAGUUCAACACAGGUUCGUAUUUGAAGCGGAGUAGGUUUUCUUCGGCUUAGGUAGCGGGGAAGCUAAAUUUUUUGCUAAGAUGUGAGAACACUGAGAUUUAGGUUGGAUUGGAGCAAGGGUAGGUGUUGAAGCCAAACUCUAAAUUAAAUAGCUAAUUCUCAGUAUUGGAUGUUUGGUACUGGGUGUGAAUCUUAUGCACAACAGUCUGAGUAAGAGAUCUUUAUUGUGAAUCACAAUGGCACGGCGAGAUGCUUUCGCAAAAAAAAAAGGUGUAACUUUGUCGAGUAGGAGUGGCGGUCUCUGCAAGCUGUUGUUUAAAUGUUGCAGAAUUAUAAUAUGGUGAAACCUGUUGGUUCUGGUGUAAAUUUGUUUCAGGUUUAGCAGGUUUUCAUUUUCUUUUAUAUCAUGUUACUCUUGGCAUGUCUCAUGCCUUAUUUCACUUUAUUUACUAUAAUUUUUUUUUGCUUCUU